rnacentral:rRNA from 1 species
AGCUCCAAUAGCGUAUAUUUAAGUUGCUGCAGUUAAAAAGCUCGUAGUUGGAUUUCGGGCGGUUGACGACGGUCCGCCUCUGGUGUGCACUGCUGUUCAUCCGCCUUUCUGUCGGGGACGUGCUCCUAGGCUUAAUUGUCUGGGACACGGGUUCGACGAGGUUACUUUGAGUAAAUUAGAGUGUUCAAAGCAGGCAUCGCCUUGAAUAUAUUAGCAUGGAAUAGCACGAUAGGACUCUGGCCUAUUUUGCUGGUCUGUAGGACCGGAGUAAUGAUUAAGAGGGACAGUCGGGGGCAUUCGUAUUUCAUUGUCAGAGGUGAAAUUCUUGGAUUUAUGAAAGACGAACUUCUGCGAAAGCAUUUGCCAAGGAUGUUUUCAUUGAUCAAGAACGAAAGUACGC